ensembl:lncRNA
CUAGACCCUAGCUCCUAGACCCUGGCUCCUAGACCCUGGCUCCUAGACCCUAGCUCCUAGACCCUAGCUCCUAGACCCUAGCUCCUAGACCCUAGCUCCUAGACCCUAGCUCCUAGACCCUAGCUCCUAGACCCUGGCUCCUAGACCGUAGCUCCUAGACCCUGGCUCCUAGACCCUAGCUCCUAGUAAUUGUUUAAGACACAAGGUUAUUUGUAGAUCAGUCAGUCUGCAAUGUAGUUCAUGUGGAACACGACGUAAGGCCUAUCAGAGGACUGGGGUGGAGCCUCCACAUACUAUGCAUGGCCCCGUCCAUCAAUCACAGAGUCGUGGUCAAAGGUCUUAGUUUAGUCUAGGAUUUGCAAAAUUCCAGUCCCCAGGUUUUCCAAAAAUCCUGGCAGUAAGGUUCCAGAAUUCCUGGCAGUAAGAUUCCAAAAAUCCUGGCAGUAAGGUUCCAGAAAUUCUGGCAGUGAGGUUCCAGAAAUUCUGGCAGUAAGGUUCCAGAAAUCCUGGCAGUAAGGUUCCAAAAAUCCUGGCAGUAAGGUUCCAAAAAUUCUGGCAGUAAGAUUCCAAAAAUUCUGGCAGUAAGGUUCCAAAAAUCCUGGCAGUAAGGUUCCAAAAAUCCUGGCAGUAAGAUUCCAAAAAUUCUGGCAGUAAGGUUCCAAAAAUUCUGGCAGUAAGAUUCCAAAAAUUCUGGCAGUAAGAUUCCAAAAAUUCUGGCAGUAAGAUUCCAAAAAUCCUUAAAAAAGAUGAAACAUGUUAAAAUAGACAUUAACCUAUUUUUAUUUCUGUUAUUUUCAGGAGUUGUCCAUCCCUGGUCUUUAUCAUAGAAAAGGAAACAGGAGUUGGGGAAUAUUGUUUCAAUGAAACAACAGAUGAUGUGUUCAGAAAGCCACAAAUAUUCAAUUAAAAACCAUUAUUUGUAUGUAUGUAUGAUGAGACCUCAGCAUUUGUGAAACUCUGCAAAACAAAAAGGGAUGUGGCAUUAUUCUGUGUUGAAACAGCAAGAUUAACUGUCUGUGUAUCCCGAAUAGCAACCUAUUCCCUACAUGGUGCCCAUCUGGAUACCACUGGAGUGCAGUAUAUAGGAAAUACGGUGCCAUUUGGGAUACAUGAUAGUGCAGCACUUUUCAUUGGUAGACAUGUUUUAUGGAGAUGAGUGUUGUGCAGUAGUAUGCUUCUAAAGAGUCCCACAGGAAAACCAGUCUGAGCAGCCAGCCAUAUAGUAGACUAAACAGUUACUGUGUUUGUAGACCCAAUGUUCUGUUGUCUUCAACAACAAGACAGUUAAGAGUAGACUAACCCUGAACUUCAUCACUUCCUGUUCCUGGCCUGGCUGGGGUCAAUUCAGUUCAGGGGUUGAAAAAAAUACCUGAACAGAAUGAAAUGAGAAUGUUUUUUAUUUUCUAUUAAUGAAUUCCAUUUUCUCUUCUUAGAUUUUACAGAUUGAAAAUGGAAUUGACCCCUAACCCUACUGUCAGUCAGUCACUAAACUGCAGUAGUUUAGCUGUUAUAAGCACUUAUAAAGGUGUUAUGAGUGCUUAUACGCCCCAUGUAUCUACAUUACCAGUCAACAGUUUUAAAACACCUACUUAUUCCAGGGUUUUUCUUUAUUUUUUAAAACUAUUUUCUACAUUGUAGAAUAAUAGUGAAGACAUCAAAACUAUGAAAUAACACAUAUGGAAUCACGUAGUAACCAAAAAAGUGUUAAACAAAUCUAAAUAUAUUUUUAUAUUUGAGAUUCUUCAAAGUAGCCACUGGUUUGCCUUGAUGACAGCGUUGCUGUGUCCAAACCUUUUUGACUGGUACUGUAUACGGUGUAGACAUGGGACUCGACAAUAAUGGAAUAAGAACCAGGUCUGUUAUGUUGCGAUUGUUUUUAAAGGCUGACAUUCUAUAGCCUGGUUCCAGGUCUGUUUCUACUGUGUAAAGUAGCAAAACAGCACAAACCAAUCUGGGACCAGGCUAGAUGUUUUAAAUUUGGUAUUGGUAUUUAUUAGCCGUUGCGAAAGCAGCAACUAGUUUUCCUGGGAUCCAGAGCUUUUUUAUUUCCAGGGAUGAGGUGAUAGGAUCAUUUAAACUGCUAAAAUGAUGCACCUCACAAUAACAAAGGGUUUCUUUCAGCUGCGACGAUUGACUGCCAUUCAUAUUAUAACAGAUGCUUAACACUGCUUUCAGGUUGGAAUCCAGGCUAAUAGCUUGUAUAAUAUAUAAUAAUAUGCCACGUUUCUUUGUCACCUGUGUGUGUAUAUAUAUUUUACGUAUGGAUGGUCCCAGACAUUGAACCAACUACCCUGGCAUUACAAGAGCCAUGCUCAACCUGACGACGUCUACAUAACAUGAUGAGUCUGCUUUGAUUCUGUAAAGAUAACAAGUUGUUUUACAAGUUGUAGAUUACAAUUUUUAUUCACCUGUAAUCUGUCUCCUGUUGUAGCUGUACAUACCGAUAUUUGAUCUAAUCUGUCUCCACUUGUAGCUGUAUCUACCGAUUAGUGUUGCACCGAUAUUGCAUUUUUUGGCCGAUACCAAUAUCUGAUAUUUUCCUUGUCCAAAUUUUUUUUGCUGCCUUUUUUAAGCAGUCUUAAAUGGAGGGGCAGGGUAGCCUAGUGGUUAGAAUGUUGGACUAGUAACCGGAAGGUUGCAAGUUCAAACCCCUGAGCUGACAAGGUACAAAUCUGUCAUUCUGCCCCUGAACAGGCAGUUAACCCACUAUUCCUAGGCAGUCAUUGGAAAUAAGGAUUUGUUCUUAACUGACUUGCCUAGUUCAAUAAAGAUAAAAUUAUAGUACAGUUAAAUAGUUUAUUAAAUAGUUUAUGGAUGCAGAGGUCUGCAUCUCAGUGAAAAAGGUGUGAAUUUUUAAAUGUUUUUUUUUUAUUUUUUUAUUCACCUUUAUUUAACCAGGUAGGCCAGUUGAGAACAAGUUCUCAUUUACAACGGCGACCUGGCCAAGAAUAAAGCAGUGCGACAAAAACAACAACACAGAGUUACACAUAAACAAACGCACAGUCAGUAACACAAAAGAAAAAUCUAUGUACAGUUUGUGCAAAUGUAGGAAGGUAAGGCAAUAAAUAGGCCACAGUGGCGAAAAUAAUUAUAAUUUAGCAUUAACACUGAAGUGACAGAUGUGCAGAUGAUGAUGUGCAAGUAGAGAUACUGAGGUGCAGAAGAGCAAGAGGGUAAGUAAUAAUAUGGGGAUGAGGUAGUUGGGUGUGCUAUUUACAGAUGGGCUGUGUACAGGUACAGUGAUCGGUAAGCUGCUCUGACAGCUGAUGCUUAAAGUUAGUGAGGGAGAUGUAAGACUCUAGCCUCAGAGAUUUUUGCAGUUCGUUCCAGUCAUUGGCAGCAGAGAACUGGAAGGAAAGGAGGCCAAAGGAAGUGUUGGCUUUGGGGGUGACCAGUGAGAUAUACCUGCUGGAGUGCGUGCUAUGGGUGGGUGUUGCUAUGGUAACCAGUUAGCUGAGAUAAGGCGGGGCUUUACCUAGCAAAGAAUUAUAGAUGACCUGGAGCCAGUGGGUUUGGCGACGGAUAUGUAGUGAGGGCUAGCCAACGAGAGCAUACAGGUCUCAGUGGUGGGUGGUAUAUGGGGCUUUGAUGAUAAAAACAGAUGGCACUGUGAUAGACUACAUCCAGUGUGCUGAGUAGAGUGUUGGGGUCUAUUUUUUACAUUGCCGAAGUCAAGGAUAGGUAGGAUAGUCAGUUUUACGAGGGUAUGUUUGGCGGCAAGAGUGAAGGAGGCUUUGUUGCGAAUAGGAAGCCCAUUCUAGAUUUAAUUUUGGAUUGGAGAUGCUUAAUGUGAGUCUGGAAGGAGAGUUUACAGUCUAACCAGACAUCUAGGUAUUUGUAAUUGUCCACAUAUUCUAAGUCAGAGCCGUCCAGAGUAGUGAUGUUGGACAGGCGGUCAGGUGAGGGCAGCGAUCGGUUGAAGAGCAUGCACUUAGUUUUACUUGCAUUUAAAAGCAGUUGGAGGCCACGGAAGGAGAGUUGUAUGGCAUUGAAGCUCGUUUGGAGGUUUGUUAACACAGUGUCCAAAGAAGUAUACAGAAUAGAGAAUCACCAGCAGCAAGAGCAACAUCAUUGAUAUAUACAGAGAAAAGAGUCAUCCUGAGAAUUGAACCCUGUGGCACCCCCAUAAAGACUGCCAGAGGUCCGGACAACAGGGCCUCCUAUUUGACGCACUGAACUCUGUCUGAGAAGUAGUCGGUGAACCAGGCGAGGCAGUCAUUUGAGAAACCAAGGCUGUUGAUUCUGCCAAUAAGAAUGCGGUGAUUGACAGAGUCGAAAGCCUUGGCCAGGUCAAUGAAGAUGGCUGCACAGUACUGUCUUUUAUCGAUGGCGGUUAUGAUAUCGUUUAGGACCUUGAGCAUGGCUGAGGUGCACCCAUGAUCAGCUCGGAAACCAGAUUGCACAGCGGAGAAGGUACGGUGGGAUUCGAGAUGGUCAGUGAUCUGUUUAUUAACUUGUCUUUCGAAGAUUUUAGAAAUGAUAGGCAAGGCAGGAUGGAUAUAGGUCUGUAACAGUUUGGGUUGUGAGUGUCUCCCCCUUUGAAGAGGGGGAUGACCGCGGCAGCUUUCCAAUAUUUGGGGAUCUGAGACAAUACGAAAGAGAGGUUGAAUAGACUGGUAAUAGGGGUUGCAACAAUUUCGGCGGAUCAUUUUAGAAAGAGAGGGUACAGAUUGUCUAGCCCAGCUGAUUUGUAGGGAUCCAGAUUUUGCAGCUCUUUCAGAACAUCAGCUGUCUGGAUUUGGGUGGCGGUUGGGCAAGUUGAUGCAGGGGGUGCUGAGAUGUUGGCCGGGGUAGGGGUAGCCAGGUGGAAAGCAUGGCCAGCUGUAGAAAAAUACUUAUUGAAAUUAUCGAUUAUCGUAGAUUUAUCGGUGUUGACAGUGUUUCCUAUCCUCAGUGCAGUGGGCAGCUGGGAGGAGGUGCUCUUAUUCUCCAUGGACUUUACAGUGUCCCAGAACGUUUUUGGAAUUAGUGCUACAGGAUGCAAAUGUCUGUUUGAAAAAGCUAGCCUUUGCUUUCCUAACUGACUGUGUAUAUUGGUUCCUGACUUCCCUGAAAUGUUGCAUAUCACGGGGACUAUUCGAUGCUAAUGCAGAACGCAACAGGAUGUUUUUGUGCUGGUCAAGGGCAGACAAGUCUGGGGUGAACCAAGGGCUAUAUCUGUUCUCAGUUCUACAUUUGAAUGGGGCAUGCUUUUUUAAGAUGGAGAGGAAAGCACUUUUGAAGAGCAACCAGGCAUCCUCUACAGACGGGAUGAGGUGGAUAUCCUUCCAGGAUACUCGGGCCAGGUCAAUUAGAAAGGCCUGCUCGCUGAAGUGUUUUAGGGAGCGUUUGACAGUGAUGAGGGGUGGUCAUUUGACCACGGACCCAUUACGGAUGCAGGCAAUGAGGCAGUGAUCGCUGAGAUCCUGGUUGAAGACGGAAGAGGUGUAUUUAGAGGGCAUGUUGGUCAGAUGUACAGUCCCUGGUUCGAAUCCAGGCUGUAUCACAUCUGGCCGUGAUUGGGAGUCCCAUAGGGCGGCGCACAAUUGACCCAGUGUCGUCCGGGCCGUCAUUGUAAAUAAGAAUUUGUUCUUAACUAACUAGCCAAGUUAAAUAAAGGUCAAACACCACACUGACCAAAAAGUUAUUUUGUUGGCAUUUACAUAUGUCCCCAUUACCAGUGAAACAUAAUAAAAAACCUAUUUAAUUAAAGUACUCGCUGUGCUGUUUCGUUGUUCAUUUGUUCAGUCGUUUCAUUCUCAACCAAGAUUUCUAUGGAACACCAUUUUGGUCUUUUGCGUGUCGAAAAAGAUACACAUCAAAUAACACUGAGUGUCAAAUAAGCUUGUUGACCAAUCAGGACCUGAAUAUGACGGCACGUCACAUAAUACAUUUAACGCGUUCAUAAAUUUUUUAACGUAGUUAUUACACAUUGAUUACAGCAUCACACGUAUUUCAUAUAUGUCACAGGGAUUCAUCGAUACGUCUGCUAUACUGAUAACAAGUUCAAACAGGUGCCAUUAAUACAGGUAACGAGUGGAGGACAGAGGAGCCUCUUGAAGAAGAAGUUACAGGUCAUUUUUUUACGUAGUUAUUACACAUUGAUUACAGCAUCACUUGUAUUUCAUAUAUGUCACAACGAUUCAUCGAUACGUCUGCUAUGAUGCUGGUGAAGUUGUCUCGCUCACCUACAGGGCUGGUCAUAAAAUAAAAAGCUAGCUAGCUCAUGGAGACAAACAAUGUGCUUCCCCAAAAACAUAGCAAUACAACAUCUGUUUCAGUAGCUAUAGUUAGCUAGCUAUAAAGCUAGGUGUCAUCAUCUAAAAUAACCCUAAUUUACAAGACAGUUCUUAUUUGAUUUAUGGUGGUUGGACCCAUCUAUGUGAAGCUAGCCACAAUAAGGAUUAGCCACAAUAGUGGACUUUGCAGUUAACCUUCAAAAUAAAAGUGUGGCAUAAUUAUACUAUUUGUAUUCAUUUGCAUCACUGUCAAUGACAUACUUUUAUUUUGAAGGCCACCUGCAAAUUCCACUAUUGUGCCUAAUUCUUAUUGUGGCUAGAUUCACAACACAUAACCUGGUCCAGUCGAGCCUCACUAGCCAGAUGAAGCCAGCUGGCUGCUUAUAACGUUAGCUUUGGGCAACAGGGUUAAGUAGCUGGCUAGCUAUUUAUUUUAAUGAACUGAAGUUCAAUUUCAAUAGGUGAACAACAAGUGGCAACCUAGCUAAUACUUACUCACAAGGAUUCCUAAAUCAUUGUUAAGGAUAAUGAAAUGACUGCAGUUUCUACUGGUCAUUGUUUUCAGGCUGGUUGUAUUGGUGCUAUCUAGCUACCAAGCUAAAGCCAGCAACCAAGCUAAAGCUAGCAACCAAGCUAAAGCCAGCAACCAAGCUAAAGCUAGCUACCAAGCUAAAGCUAGCUACCAAGCUAAAGCUAGCUACCAAGCUAAAGCCAGCUACCAAGCUAAAGCCAGCUACCAAGCUAAAGCCAGCUACCAAGCUAAAGCCAGCUACCAAGCUAAAGCCAGCAACCAAGCUAAAGCUAGCUACCAAGCUAAAGCCAGCAACCAAGCUAAAGCUAGCUACCAAGCUAAAGCUAGCUACCACAGAAGUUGCGGUUGAACAAAUGAUGCUUUAUUACCAACGCGGUAUUGUAAACACAUUGUUCGUGGACGGUGUUGCAGACUUCUUUGUACAGCUUUGACAGAGCUACUGUAUCUUUUUUGAGACACAGACUCAAACGGCGUUCCAUAGUAUGUAUUUCGUGAAGCUAAUAGCAGUGACGCUAUUGCUGUGUAACUCUGGUGGGGAAACAUCUGAAAAAUAGCUCACUUGGUAGUGUGUAACGGUGCUCGACCAGUUGGCGAAAGCCAACAUCACCCACGACAGAGAACGGUUGAUUGUCAAGGGCAAUGAAUUCCAUCAUCUUGGCUUUAAUGUAUUUCGCCUAUGAGUCUCCUCACUGAAAUGUUCUUACUCUUUCAAAUGACAGCUGGACUUGUUGACUGCUCGAUCCACACAGCCGACAUUGCUGGCUAGGUUAGGAAUGCUGUGUUGCACGUUUAGCGCAAAAUUUGACAUGGUGUAAUUACGUCAUGUACCUCACCUACGUUAUGAAGCACGGUAGCUUUGACAUUGGUUUUUAACAUCGGCGUUAAACUAGUCAUAGGGACGUUACCGAUGUCAGGCAUUUUUAACUCAUAUCAGCCGAUUCCAAUAUGUUCACCGAUAUAUCGUGCAUCCCCCCACUACCGAUAUUUUGAUCUAUUCCUUUCAUAUUUCAGUACUCUUGUUCUCAUUCAUGUUGUUCAACUAUGUACAAGAGACUACAUUCAUGUUGGAAACAGUAGUGCUUGCAGUGAAAGACCGAUACAACAACCACAUAUAGUUUCUGUGUUAUUAACUGUGAUACGUACUAUUGGAGAAUAUCGACUGUCCUGCUUGUGCUGCGCUGUGUUUUUGGUCCUAACAAUCGACUUUGGUGCUUUGAUUUACUUUGUGUCUUUUUAUUUUCAUUAGAAAAGCAAUUAUACACACGGAGUAUACCAAACAUUAAGAACACCUUCCUACUGUUUACUGUAAAAAAAAAAACAGCAGCGUUGCAGUUCUUGACACAAACCUGGCACCUACUUCCACACCCUGUUCAAAGGCACCCAAAUGAUUUGUCCUGCCCAUUCACCCUCUGAAUGGCACAAAUACACAAUCGAUGCCUCAAGUCUUAAAAACCCUUCUUUAACCCGUCUCCUCCCCUUCAUCUACACUGAUUGAAGUGGAUUUAACAAGUGACAUCAAUAAGGGAUUCAUAGCUUUCACCUGGAUUCACCUGGUCAGUCUAUGUCAGUGGAAAUAGCAGGUGUUCUUAAUGUUUUGUAGACUCUGUGUGUAUGUUAUAUACAGAUGGUAAUAUGUUUAAUAACCAUAGUUUAGGUUCUGUUUUAUGCAAAUUACAUCUAGUUUGUUUUGUAUUUUUAUUUAUGUAUGUAAAUAGAAAUUGUACAUAACUCGAUAUAGCGUAAUAUUCUGAAACAACAUUUAUUAACACAUAUUUUAGAGCUAUUUAUCUUAUAAUAUGUAAAAGCAUUGCAUAUAUUUUGGCCUUAAUUCGUUUUUGAUUUUUAAAAAAAUGAAAUAUAUAUAGUGUCUAAUUUUACUCUUUUAAAUGUACUUGACUCGGGGGCAUAACGUGUGUGUGUGUGUGUGUGUGUGUGUGUGUGUGUUUGGAGAAAUACAGUCUGUUUGUCCUUAUCAUGCCAAAACAAUGUUUGGGUAUGACACAAAAAUACAAGAAGUGGAAUGUUAAGCACAAAACAGGUUCUGGAUUUCAGGUUUAUGGGACUGGGGAACAGGGUGCUGUUUGGGACUGGGGAACAGGGUGCUGUUUGGGACUGGGGGACAGGGUGCUGUUUGGGACUGGGGGACAGGGUGCUG